AGUGAGAUUUGAGAUUUCUUAUAAAUUAUCAUAAGCUAGUGUAGUGCAGAAACCCAGCAAAUACAAGAGACAUUGUUUUUCUUUGGCUGAAUUAAGAUUUGUAGGUUGGAUAUAACAAAAACACAUUACAUUGCAAGUUUUCAAAUACAGAAAACAAGAUUUUUUAUUUUAUUUAUUAUUAUGAAGCAACUAGAGAGAGGAGUGAAAUUGACAACUAGUAGUAUAUAAUAGCUGGAAAACUCGGAUCCAUCAGUGUCACACUUUAAACUGUGAAAUCAAACACCCCUUAAACAGAUCUCUCAGAGUCACACUUUAAAUGGUAUCAAAUCAAACAUCUUAGAGGUAUGCAACAUAACCGAUUAGAUAAAUCAUAUUGUACCAUUCCCGCGACACAGAUUUCAACAUCUAUCAUAUGUCUGCAGUAAGGAAGUUAUUGGAAAUUGCAACCUGCAAAUAAAAAAAUUAAUGAAUGACCUAUGCAGCACAUGCUACAGAACAUACCAAAGCAAUGACUCUAAACACUCACGAAAGGGGGAGAAAAAAUGUACCUUUUCGCCCAUUUUGAAGGUAGGCAGUCCCUUGUAAGGGCAGGUGCUGCACCUAAAUGCAUCCCCUAGGCCACACUGUAGACCAAAGACAAACUUUGAGAACAAUGCCCAUUGAAGAAAAAUAAUAAUAAUCUUAAAUAGCAUAGUGAAUAAGAGAUUAUGUUGCACAUCCAAGAUUAGAUAAGCAACUUAAUGAUUGGUUUGCGACACUGCGUUUACUGCUGUUGCUUUCGAAAACAACAACUACAAAGCCCGAGGUUCUAGACAUCAGCUUGUGUGAAGCAAGAAACGAUGAAUCUAUAACAAAAUGUUAUGUAGAACAUCCUUGAAUUUUGACAAAGGAGCAACAAAUGAAAGUUUUGCAGGCAGAGAACAUUUAAAUGUACAUAUUUGCAAGGAAAAUAAUUUGGUGGUAGAGUUUGAUAGGUACUUAUGGCAUUGAGGGGUAAGAUGUUGAAUUAGAGUGGAUAAAAAUUAUGUAUAUCAUUGUAAUAUGUAAACAAUCAUGCUAAUAAUGGAAUUAUUCAACAUUUGUUAGUCAAAGGUUUUAUUGUAGAAAUGUUAGCUUUAGAAGAUCCAGAAGUCAGAACCAGAAAAACAGAUUAAAAUCAAGGCAACUAGAAAAGCAAAACAUAAUAAAAUUAUGGAUGCCACAGUAAAUUAUUUAAGAAGAUUUGACAAAAGAACCAAAUAGUCUCAACAACUAUGUUGUCAGUUGCGAAUAGCAGCGUGGAGCGGCAGCCGGCUCCAAAAACGAAAUAUUGGGAUGGUGGCUAUUUGAACAUAUUUUGGGACAAAUUACACGAUUAAUACUGUUACAGAUUUAAUCACAAUUUUAAUGCUAAAAACACUUUUAACAUUUUUAUUUAUACUAUAACACAUAAGGACUUCAAUAAAAAUGGGAUGAUACUAUAGGGACCAACAGAUUGAUUUAACCAAGAAAGAAAAAAAGACAUACACUGCCACAAGCUGAUUUAGGAUUAUUAAUCUGUUCUGCUGUCAAUCCUAACUUCAAUACUUUUUCCUCUUCUUCUGCCCUCCCACAUGAGCAAUUUUUGCAGGCCUUUUUUGUAGUUCCGAUUUCACAAUCACCUAUUGCAUAACAUGUGAUUUAAUAGCCAAAUACCAUACAGAAUGCUAAUUGAAGAACAGAGCUAGAGAAGUGCUGAAAAGUACUCUUUACCAGAUGGGAGUUGGGGUUUCUUUAAAUCUUCUUCAGACAAAAGACUAUUUUCAUCAAUCAGAUCAGAAUCAAAAUCAAUUUGCACUUUAGGGGAACUCUUCACAACCUUCUUUAAUGCAAAAGAUGAACCAAUUUUCCAUGAAGGCUUUUUAGCUUUGAUCUAUGUGCAAUACAGAACAUAUUUAUAAUUAGAACUUGUAAGGUCAGAGCAGAGUUAAUUAGGAGAAAAAUAAACUCUAGCUGACUCAUGGCUUAUACUCCAUUUGACAAGCAAUAGGAAAUUCAGUUUGUCUGAGACAAUAAAUAGCAUCACAAAACAACUAGCUGAAAUUAGUGAUUUUGCACAAAAUGAAAAACCAUUAACAACAGCAAUGGUUGUCAAAUACUAAUAGACUGGGUUUCAUGAAACAUGUAAGCCUAUCACUCAACUCAUUGGCCACAUUUCUAUUGUAUUUCAUUGUGUUGCACAGCAGACAAGACAUGACAAGACAAUAACUGUUUUAUUAAAUGUUUCCAGCGCAUUCUAUUCUAUUGCAGAACAGUUUUUUUACUCAAUUGCAUAACAGUGGUUAAUAGAGACGACAGGGAGAUAGAUACCAAAAAAUAAAACUUACCGCAGAAGAUUGCAAAGCCUGUAUUUCUGAAAAUCCUGCCAAUAACAACUUGUUAUCAAGAUCGGGUAUCGUCUGUAAGGACAAAGAGAAAAAUGUCAGAUCAUGUUCAACAACAUUAAUUCACUCAGGCACAAUCUAGCUAUUAUUAUUACCUUAUCAUCUAAACCCACAGCAGAUUGGGAGGACUUGCGAAUAAGAGUUGUCCCGCCAGCUUUUAACACUCUAAGGACUUCUUGAGUCAGUUGGUUGAUAGGAAAAUCAAGAGACUUCCAGAUUAAAACAACCAAAUCCACAGAGGAAGAUUCCACUGGAAACUUGCCUGAAGUUUGCAAUAAAUAGAGGGAAAAAUUGGUCUCUUUGGCUAUAAUAAAAUACCACAUAUGCACAAAGUGGAAAAUCAUGCAUUUGAAAGAGGAAUAGUAGCUUCCAUCUAACUUCUAUCAACACCUGUGGAUUGACUCGAGUAUAAAGGAAACAAAAAAUACAAGAAGAACUGGCUCCAUAGUCAAGUUUUCUCAUAGACCACCACCCCCACAAACUUCAAGCAAUAAAAUCAUUACCACAAGCCAUUAAGCAAUAAGUAUGCUAAUCUGUCAGCAAUUUCAUUUAUACGAUUUCUUCCAUCGUGAACCAAGGAAAAGAGAAUUUAAGCUC
rnacentral:lncRNA from 1 species